GUUUAAUACAGUGUCUGAGGGGAGAGAAGCGGGUGAGAGCUCUCUUUGUUUAAGUUUGUGUUAUGGUUUUCUUGAGCAGCAAGUUCAAAAAUGAAGCCCGCACCCUUAGCUUCUUCUGUGUGCGGGUUUUAUUUCUCACUGCAGUCUGUCUAUUUAACAUAUGGGGAGUGGUUUCAUGUUCAUUACUGAAGCUUAUAGGCUGAAGUGCUUUGUGGGCUUGGCUCACUGAAGUUGCCUUUGGGGAGGAGGCCAAAAUUGAGCUCGGGAACAGGACGACUUCCCCUGUUUAUGUGGAUUCUCAGGGUAAUCAAUCCCCUCCCCUCCCACCUGGACAUCAUCUGCUCUGGAAAAGAGUCUCACAGUAAGGAUUCUUUCCUUACCUCAGUAUGAAGCAACUGCUUUCACAGGGGCACCAGGUUAGUAAAUAACAUUUUGAACUUUCUGUAUUGCAUUUGUCAGAUUUUCUUUCUGUGCUCAUGGUAGGCAGGAGAGUGGUUGUCUGCUGUCAUGUUCUUUUAGAAGAUAACAUGAGUUCACUGAUCCUGUGGAGCCCCACUGCUUUCACCAUGUCUGAAGGUAACAUGUCACUGAAAAACGAGUCGAGAGUAAAUACCUCUGCACUGCAGAAAAUCGCUGCCGACAUGAGCAAUUUGAUAGAAAAUCUGGACACACGGGAGCUGCAUUUUGAAGGAGAGGAGGUGGACUAUGAUGUGUCUCCCGGGGACCCCAGGACUCAGGAAGUGUGUAUCCCUUUCUCUGCUAUUUAUAACACUCAAGGAUUUAAGGAGCCUAAUAUACAGACGUAUCUCUCUGGCUGUCCGAUAAAAGCACAAGUUCUGGACGUGGAACGUUUCACAUCUACAUCAAGGGUAUCAAGUAUCAAUCUGUAUACUAUUGAGUUAACACAUGGGGAAUUUAAAUGGCAAGUCAAGAGGAAAUUCAAGCACUUUCAAGAAUUCCACAGAGAACUGCUCAAGUACAAAGCCUUUAUCCGCAUUCCCAUUCCCACCAGAAGACAUACAUUUAGAAGACAAAAUGUCAAAGGGGAAGAGCCUCGACAAAUGCCCAGUUUGCCCAGUUCACAUGAAAAUAUGAUUCAAGAGGAACAGUUCUUUGGAAGAAGGAAACAGUUGGAAGAUUACCUGACCAAGAUACUAAAAAUGCCCAUGUAUAGAAACUACCAUGCCACAACAGAAUUCCUUGAUAUAAGCCAGUUAUCUUUCAUCCGUGACUUGGGACCAAAGGGCCUAGAAGGCAUGAUCAUGAAAAGAUCCGGGGGACACAGAAUACCAGGUUUGAAUUGCUGUGGUCAGGGGAGAGCCUGCUACAGAUGGUCAAAAAGGUGGUUAAUAGUGAAAGAUUCCUUUAUAUUAUAUAUGAAACCAGACAGUGGUGCUAUUGCCUUUGUCCUGCUGGUGGAUAAAGAAUUUAGAAUUAAGGUGGGGAAGAAGGAGACAGAAACGAAAUAUGGACUUCGAAUUGAUAAUCUUUCAAGGACACUUAUUUUAAAAUGCAACAGCUAUAGACAUGCUCGGUGGUGGGGAGGAGCUAUAGAAGAAUUCAUCCAGAAACACGGCACCAACUUCCUUAAGGACCAUCGAUUUGGGUCCUAUGCUGCUAUCCAGGACAACACUUUAGCUAAAUGGUAUGUUAAUGCCAAAGGAUAUUUUGAAGAUGUGGCAAAUGCAAUGGAAGAAGCAAAAGAAGAGAUUUUUAUCACAGAUUGGUGGUUGAGUCCAGAAAUCUUCCUUAAACGCCCAGUAGUUGAAGGAAAUCGUUGGAGGUUGGACUGCAUUCUUAAACGAAAAGCACAACAAGGGGUGAAGAUCUUCAUAAUGCUUUACAAGGAGGUGGAGCUUGCUCUGGGAAUCAAUAGUGAAUACAGCAAGAGGACUUUAGUGAGGCUGCACCCCAACAUCAAGGUGAUGAGGCACCCAGAUCAUGUGUCAUCCAGCGUUUAUUUAUGGGCUCAUCAUGAGAAACUUGUCAUCAUCGAUCAAUCAGUGGCCUUUGUAGGUGGGAUUGACCUGGCCUAUGGACGGUGGGAUGACAACGAACACAGACUCACAGAUGUGGGAAGUGUGAAGCGGGUCGUUUCAGGACCGUCCCUGGGUUCUCUCACAGCUGCAAUCACAGAGUCUAUGGAAUCCUUAGGCCUCACAGAUAAAAAUGAAUCUAAUAAAAAUGUUCCCAGCUUGAAGAGUCCUGAUGAGACAGAUUCAAAACUGAAAGGUGUAGGAAAGCCACGAAAGUUGUCCAAACUUAACCUCUACCGGCAGCUCCACUGGCACCACCUGCACAACUCGGACAGCGUCAGCAGCCUGGACAGCGCCUCCAGUUAUGUUAAUCACUAUAGAAGUCACCAGAAUUUAAUCCAUGGUUUAAAACCCCACUUGAAACUCUUUCGCCCUUCCAGUGGGUCUGAACAGGGACUCACUAGACCCAGCGCCGAUACCGGCUCCAUCCGCAGCUUACAGACUGGCGUGGGAGAGCUACACGGGGAGACCAGAUUCUGGCAUGGGAAGGACUACUGCAACUUUGUGUUCAAAGACUGGGUUCAACUGGAUAAACCUUUUGCUGAUUUCAUCGACAGGUACUCUACUCCCCGGAUGCCCUGGCAUGACAUUGCGUCUGUGGUCCACGGGAAGGCAGCUCGUGAUGUGGCGCGCCACUUCAUCCAGCGAUGGAACUUCACGAAGAUUAUGAAACCAAAAUAUCGGUCCCUUUCUUAUCCUUUUCUGCUUCCAAAGUCUCAAACCACAGCCCAUGAGCUGAGACACCAAGUGCCUGGGGCUGUCCACGCCAGCAUACAGUUGCUCCGCUCUGCUGCUGAUUGGUCUGCUGGUAUAAAGUACCAUGAAGAGUCUAUCCACACCGCUUACAUCCAUGUGAUAGAGAACAGCAAGCACUAUAUCUAUAUUGAAAACCAAUUUUUUAUAAGCUGUGCUGAUGACAAAGUUGUGUUCAACAAGGUGGGUGAUGCCAUUGCUCAGAGGAUCCUGAAAGCUCACAGGGAAGGCCGGAGGUACCGGGUGUAUGUUGUGAUACCACUGCUCCCGGGAUUUGAAGGAGACAUUUCAACUGGAGGAGGAAACGCUCUACAGGCCAUAAUGCACUUCAACUACAGAACCAUGUGCAGAGGAGAAAAUUCCAUCCUUGGACAGUUAAAAACAGAGCGCUCUGCCAACAUAAAUGACCGAAGUAUGCUGGGGAAGCGUGACAGUGAGAUGGCUGUCAUUGUGCAGGACACAGGGACGAUCCCAUCAUUAAUGGAUGGACAGGAGUACCAGGCCGGCCGAUUUGCCCAAGGACUGCGGCUACAGUGCUUCAGGGUUGUCCUUGGCUAUCUUUCUGACCCAAGUGAGGACAUUCAGGAUCCAGUGAGUGACAAAUUCUUCAAGGAGGUAUGGGUUUCCACAGCAGCUCGAAAUGCUACAAUUUAUGAUAAGGUGUUCCGGUGCCUUCCCAAUGAUGAAGUACACAAUUUAAUGCAACUGAGAGACUUUAUAAACAAGCCCAUAUUAGCAAAGGAAGAUCCCAUUAGAGCUGAGGAAGAACUAAAAAAGAUCCGUGGAUUCUUGGUGCAAUUCCCCUUGUACUUCUUGUCUGAAGAAUCCCUGCUGCCUUCUGUUGGAACCAAAGAAGCCAUAGUGCCCAUGGAGGUUUGGACUUAAAUGAUGUACUUGUCUGCAGCACCAAGAUUUCUCCCCUGAAGCCCACAGUGCACACACUGACUUCAUGGGGAUCGCCUAGCCACAUCCAGGCCGAUGCACUCUCAAGUCCAACACGUGGACCUUUUGGAAUGGUUGUGGUCAUACUGAUGUAAGGACACUGAGCAUCAGCAAGGUUUUGUAAUUCCUUCUGUCCAUCCUUGUAAAAGAGGAUGCAUUCUUGUUGGUACCAUUUACUCAACACUUUAGAACACAAGCAAAUUCCAUGGUGUAUACCAAAAUCCAUUUGCUAGUAAGAAUUUAUAUGUAACUGUAAUACAGAUUGCCAAAAGUUUCCUGGGAUUCCAUCCUCUUCUCUGACCUCCAGGUAGGCAGCCACUCUCUGCUGGACUUACCACAUCAUUUAGUCUACACAGCACUGCUUGAGAUACCCUUUCUUACUAGAAGACAUUGUAGAACUGCAUGAAGUUUCCUACAGGUUACAGGGAUGCUCCUGCCCAUCCAGUCCUGUAGUCAUAGUGUUCACCCAACCAAGGAUGUGGUUAUUGUUUCUUUUCAGUCACUAUAGGGACAGAAAGACUAGUCUACACAGCAGUCCAUACCUUUGAUAACAUUAGUGCUAUAUCUUGACUCCAUAGAGUAACAGGAAGGAAUUAAAUUGCAGUACUGAAGCAGAGAUUUCAGUUUGUUCCCCAAAACACUGCCAAGAUGUGUUCUUGUGAUAGAGCCCAACUGAUCAAAUUUGAAAACAUGUUUAGGAUAUUUGAUUAUUUGAUUACAUAUCACACAGAUAAAACAUAGAUGGGCACACAUUCUUGAGAAACUUUCAGUGUCAGUAGAAAUCUAAUCUUGAUAAGAUUCUGUAUAGUCUUGUAAAAUUUUCAUCAUCCGUGAUUGAUUGGAAUUGGAAUUUCUUCAUUUCAUAAUCAAAUGAGUGAAUGCAAUUUGCCUUGCAAGAGAAUCAAAAGUUUCAUAAUUCCUACCAAGUUAAUGAAUCUAACUUUAUUUGACAUUCACUAUGUUAUCAUGUUUAAGGAAAAAAAUGAUUAUAAAAUAUAUGCUAUUUCACUUGCAUGGUUAAAUAUACUGUAAUAUUUCAGCAGGGCUUUCAAAGGAGUUAGGAUAUUCUUACAGCCUGAAGAGCUAAAGUGGGUUUCCAAGAGGCCUGUGAGCAAUAAAAAGGGUACAGGUGCAGGGGUUACACACAUGGAUGGAUCCCUGGGACAGAAUCUCCUUGGGGUUCUUCAAAGCAAGCGCUCAGUCUCUAUCUUCAUGAACUAAUACUCAGGUCAGAAAGAUGUAAGAGGACUACAGUGUCAAUGAUACAUAAUAGCAGAAUAGAUAGUGUCAUACCCGAGAGGCUUUCACAGCUAGAGAAAUGAGGUGGAAUUUUAUAAGCCGUUCUGGAAAUGAGUAUUUAUGAAUAAAUAACUUAUUUUUAUAUGGCUGGAGAUGGUAAAAUGACUUAACUUCUUAGCUUUUAUAAAUGAGACAUUUUACGAAAGUUUGAUGAAAAGUUUAGAGUAGCCUUUGAUGUGCUGAGUGUAUUCAGAAAUACUUACGGGCUCUUGUAUUUUAUUUUAAAAUAUUUUGUAUGGCUUAUGAACAAACUGGCCUUGGUUUUGUGAAAACUGUUCUUAUUAAAACAUGAAAAGUAAAGGGUCUAAAAGGAACCCCGCUAUGUAGCUCAGGCUGACCUCAAACUCACAGUGGUCCUCCUGCCUCAGCCUUCAGAGUGCUGAGAUUAUAGGUGCAUGUGCUGCCAUGGCCAGCAGCUCUUCACCUUAAAAAAUCAUUCAGUUCAAUCCCUCUGCAUAUUAUAGAUGAGGUAACUGAGGCUCAGAUUGGAUGAAGGACUGAUUUAAACCCAUAAGAUAUAGAUGGCAGAACUGGGACUAGCAAAAUUGCUGCAGUCUAUAGUUGUCCUCUCCACCUCAACACUGCCCCAAAAUGAGGACAUGCAGGGAAUUUUAGAAGGCUAUCUUUAAGCUGUUUUGAACCCUGCCUAUAUCUAACUACUAGGGUAGAAGAGCCAUAAGGCAGAGAUUUCACCACUGUUGUUCAUAGUGAGUCCCCACAGCCUGGAACAGUGCCUGGUUCAUAGAAGAGGUCAGUAAAUGUCUGUGGAAUGAAUAUAAAAGGAGGAGAGAGCUAAUGAAAAGAAAACCUUUCUAUGCCUCAGGCCAGAAAUCUUACUGUUGGUUUCCCUUGCAAGUUUUUCUACUUCUCAGAGCCAAGAUUUUUAUCCACAAAAAAAAGCGACAAAGUGUAUUUGGAGGAAUCUUAUGGAAAAUUCAGUGCAAUAAUUGUGUUUUAUGCAGUAGCAGUUUACAGAGUGCAACAUUCUGUAAGAACUGCAUGGAAUGUGGCAUGGAUGUACUGUAUAACCUAAUUACCUAUCGUUUUUGGACACCGUCAAUACCUACUGGAAGUUGAAAUGAUGUAUCUUAACAUCGAAAUGUCUGAUAACUUUAAAAUGUAAGUCAUGUAAAACCUUGAAAAGCUAUUAUGAAUUGUUCACUUCAAACUGACUGUAAUCUUUUGAAAUGCCUAUAAAUACUACUCCUGACAUCCUGCAAAUAUCUGUGAUAAUUUUUGUUUCUCCAAAGGAAAAAUUCUAUUAUUACAAUAAAUGAAGAGUAGAAAGUGGUCAUGGCCUGUUGAGUUAUUCCUUGGAGGAGAUAGCAAUUCUAAGGAAUAGCAAUUCUAGCAUAAUUAUGCAUUCAGAUCACGGGUCAGGCCAUGACUCACCCUUUUGUAGGAAGAUCUGAACUCUCCACAUCACAGAGGAAUGUGGGGGCUGGCCGUUAGAUAAUCUUGUGGCACACUGUGAAACAAAGUACUUUUUCAAAGUAUCUUGGGAAGAAAAUUUAGUCUAUAGGUACUCAAUAUGGAGAGGUAAUUUCUUAUGUAAGAACUUGGGAAAUUGUGUCAUGACUGAACAGUCUUUUAGAUGGCAGCAGUAAGCUGAGAAAUGAUUUUUCAGAUGUGAGACUAGGGAGAAUACAUUUUUAUGUAUAUAUAAUAAAGAACCUGUACUUCUUUCUGCACCCACUCACCUUGUAUUCUUUCCAUUUCUGCUUCCAAUCAGAGCCACUCCUUAUGUUGUAAAAGCCAUUUUAGAGAACAAGAAAAUAUUUUCCUGAAAAAAAAUUAAGCCUCACAUUAGCCUGCUCAUCUGCCAUUCAAGGCUUAAAAGGCAACAUUUAUUUUCCUAAUUGUGGAGGUAGGAAGUCUGAGAGCCGGAUACCCACUUGAUCCAUUUCUACCAAACUCUUUGGUAUUUCUUCAUGUAAAGCUACUAAUCCUUUAUGAGGAGCCCAUCCUCAUGAUGUAGAACUAGUCGUAGCUUCCUCUCUGUGGUAUUGUUUUUGCAAAUUAAAAUUGGCCUCCACUCUUUUGAGAAUAAAGUUUCAUUACAAUGCAACCUUACCCACUCACAACCAUAUGCCUCACAUAUCUUAAAAUACUUGCUAUCAGUAAGAGAAAACUUGCUGAUCCUUCUAGAGAAUUCAAACAGAGUACCGUGAACAAACAGAUUUGGGGAAGUUUUAAUUUCCUCUAUCAGUAGGGCUGUCAAACCUCUGUAUCCCAUGGCCUAAGAUUCUACAAUCU
ensembl:lincRNA